UUUAAAUGUAGACAUAAGUUUUCGUGUCCAAUUUUGAUUGUUCGUUUUAUUUGAAAUUUUCUUGUGAUUAGUAUUUUUAUUGUUAUUAGAUGAUAAAACAUGAAUAAUACUUUACGCAUGACUUAUGUUUUUUAAUGUUUCUAAAUUUUUUUUAAAUAAGACGAAUUAUUAAAGUUGCACACAGAAAUUUAUGGUUGCGCUUAAA
rfam:Oryza punctata chromosome 5, whole genome shotgun sequence.